UACGUAGGGGGCUAGCGUUGUCCGGAUUUAUUGGGCGUAAAGAGCGUGUAGGCGGCCUGGUAGGUCUGCUGUGAAAACUCGAGGCUCAACCUCGAGAUGUCGGCGGAAACCACCUGGCUAGAGUCCGGAAGGGGCUACUGGAAUUCCGUGUGUAGCGGUGAAAUUCGUAGAUAUCGGGAGGAACACCAGUGGCGAAGGCGGCUCUCUGGGCAAUGACUGACACUGAGACGCGAAAGCGUGGGUAGCAAACAGG
rnacentral:rRNA from 1 species